rnacentral:rRNA from 1 species
AGAGUUUGAUCCUGGCUCAGAACGAACGCUGGCGGCGGGCCUAAUACAUGCAAGUCGAACGAGAAAAUCCGGCUUCGGCUGGGUGAGUAAAGUGGCGAACGGGUGAGUAACACGUGGGCAAUCUGCCCUUAAGUUUGGGAUAAGCCCUCGAAAGGGGGUCUAAUACCGGAUAAUAUCCGGAGAUGGCAUCUUUUCCGGAUCAAAGGCGGAGCAAUCUGCCGCUUAGGGAUGAGCCCGCGUCCCAUUAGCUUGUUGGUGAGGUAACGGCUCACCAAGGCUGUGAUGGGUAGCCGGCCUGAGAGGGUGAUCGGCCACACUGGGACUGAGAUACGGCCCAGACUCCUACGGGAGGCAGCAGUAGGGAAUAUUGCGCAAUGGACGAAAGUCUGACGCAGCCACGCCGCGUGGAUGAUGAAGCUUUUCGGAGUGUAAAAUCCUGUCAGUGGGGAAGAACCGGUCGGGGAGUAACUGCCCCGGCCCUGACGGUACCCGCAGAGGAAGUUCCGGCUAACUCCGUGCCAGCAGCCGCGGUAAUACGGGGGGAACAAGCGUUGUUCGGAUUCACUGGGCGUAAAGGGCGUGUAGGCGGAUUUGCAAGUCAGAUGUGAAAACCGGCGGCUCAACCACCGGCCUGCAUCUGAUACUGCUAAUCUUGAGUACGGUAGAGGAAAGUGGAAUUCCAGGUGUAGCGGUGACAUGCGUAGAUAUCUGGAAGAACACCGGUGGCGAAGGCGGCUUUCUGGACCGAUACUGACGCUGAGGCGCGAAAGCCAGGGGAGCAAACAGGAUUAGAUACCCUGGUAGUCCUGGCCGUAAACGAUGGGUACUAG